GGAUGUGAGGGCGAUCCGGCUGCAACAUCUGUCACCCCGUGCGUCGCCGGGGUUGAUUUGGCUGAUCUGGCGGGCUAGGCGGGGGUCCCCUUCCUCCCUCACCACUGCAUGUGUGUCCCUCCCGAAGCUACGCACUCGGUCAAAGAGGACAACCGUCCCUGAUAGAGGAGGACCGUUCUUCGGUCAAGGGUAUGGGAGUAGCUGCGCUCCCCUGCUAGAACCUCCAAACAGGCUCUCAAGGAACUGGUUGGUUCUUUGAGAGUGGAUAGAAAAGCACCAGAUGUAGGAUCUCUAGAGGGAGAUUU
ensembl:misc_RNA 7SK 7SK RNA